AUUGAACGCUGGCGGGAGGCUUUACACAUGCAAGUCGAACGAGUGGCGGACGGGUGAGUAAUAUCUCGGAAAGUGCCCGAUGGCGGGGGAUAACUACUCGAAACGGUAGCUAAUACCGCAUACUAUUAGCUGUGCCCAGAUGGGAUUAGCUAGUUGGUGGGGUAACGGCUCACCAGGGCGACGAUCCCUAGCUGGUCUGAGAGGAUGACCAGCCACACUGGCACUGAGACACUGCCCAGACUCCUACGGGAGGCAGCAGUGGGGAAUAUUGGACAAUGGGCGAAAGCCUGAUGCAGCCAUGCCGCGUGUAUGAGGAAGGCCUUCGGGUUGUAAAGUACUUUCAGCGGAGAGGCGUUAUCUGCAGAAGAAGCACCGGCGAACUACGUGCCAGCAGCCGCGGUAAUUC
rnacentral:rRNA from 1 species